GGUGAGUAACNCGUGGGUAACCUGCCUGUAAGACUGGGAUAACUCCGGGAAACCGGGGCUAAUACCGGAUGGUUGUUUGAACCGCAUGGUUCAAACAUAAAAGGUGGCUUCGGCUACCACUUACAGAUGGACCCGCGGCGCAUUAGCUAGUUGGUGAGGUAACGGCUCACCAAGGCAACGAUGCGUAGCCGACCUGAGAGGGUGAUCGGCCACACUGGGACUGAGACACGGCCCAGACUCCUACGGGAGGCAGCAGUAGGGAAUCUUCCGCAAUGGACGAAAGUCUGACGGAGCAACGCCGCGUGAGUGAUGAAGGUUUUCGGAUCGUAAAGCUCUGUUGUUAGGGAAGAACAAGUACCGUUCGAAUAGGGCGGUACCUUGACGGUACCUAACCAGAAAGCCACGGCUAACUACGUGCCAGCAGCCGCGGUAAUACGUAGGUGGCAAGCGUUGUCCGGAAUUAUUGGGCGUAAAGGGCUCGCAGGCGGUUUCUUAAGUCUGAUGUGAAAGCCCCCGGCUCAACCGGGGAGGGUCAUUGGAAACUGGGGAACUUGAGUGCANAAGAGGAGAGUGGAAUUCCACGUGUAGCGGUGAAAUGCGUANNGAUGUGGAGGAACACCAGUGGCGAAGGCGACUCUCUGGUCUGUAACUGACGCUGAGGANCGAAAGCGUGGGGAGCGAACAGGAUUANAUACCCUGGUAGUCCACGCC
rnacentral:rRNA from 1 species